GGCUAACGCUGGCGGCGUGUCUUAGCCAUGCAAGUCGAGCGGACUUAUGGGGUAACUUAUAAGUCAGCGGCGGACGGCGGAGUAACACGUAGCUAACCUACCCUCUGGACGGGGGAUAACCUACCGAAAGGUGGGCUAAUACCCGAUGUAGUCAUCCUGUAUAGGGGUGAUGAAAGGUGGGCUUCUGUUUACAAGCUCAUGCUGGAGGAGGGGGCUGCGGCCUAUCAGGUAGUUGGUAGGGUAAUAGCCUACCAAGCCGAUGACGGGUAGCCGGCCUGAGAGGGUGACCGGCCCGAGGGGCACUGAGAUACGGGUCCCACUCCUACGGGAGGCAGCAGGCUAGAAAUUUGGGCAAUGGGGGAAACCCUGACCCAGUGACGCCGCGUGCAGGAAGGAGCCCUUCGGGGUGUAAACUGCUGUCGUGUAGGGAGAAGGGUACUAAGGUGAACAAUCUUAGUACUUGACGGUACUACAGGAGGAAGCCCAGGCUAACCUCGUGCCAGCAGGCGCGGUAAAAUGCGUACU
rnacentral:rRNA from 1 species